rnacentral:rRNA from 1 species
UACAGAGGGCUCAAGCGUUGUUCGGAUUCAUUGGGCGUAAAGGGUGCGUAGGCGGUCCUAUAAGUCAGUGCUGAAAUAUCCCGGCUUAACCGGGAGGGUGGCAUUGAUACUGUGGGACUUGAGUAAAGUUGAGGUUGGCGGAAUUGACGGUGUAGCGGUGAAAUGCUUAGAUAUCGUCAAGAACACCUAUUGCGAAGGCAGCUAACUAAGCUUUAACUGACGCUGAGGCACGAAAGUGUGGGGAUCAAACAGG